GGCUCGUUGGUCUAGGGGUAUGAUUCUCGCUUAGGGUACGAUAGUUCCCGGGUUCAAAUCCCAGACGAGCCC
rnacentral:tRNA from 1 species